rnacentral:rRNA from 1 species
UACGAAGGGGGCUAGCGUUGCUCGGAAUCACUGGGCGUAAAAGCGCACGUAGGCGGAUUGCUAAGUCAGGGGUGAAAUCCUGGAGCUCAACUCCAGAACUGCCUUUGAUACUGGCGAUCUCGAGUCCGGAAGAGGUGAGUGGAACUCCUAGUGUAGAGGUGGAAUUCGUAGAUAUUAGGAAGAACACCAGUGGCGAAGGCGGCUCACUGGUCCGGUACUGACGCUGAGGUGCGAAAGCGUGGGGAGCAAACAGG